rnacentral:lncRNA from 1 species
UUGAGCAAUUUGCACUGUCCAUCACUGAUCCGAUGCUCCAAUGAGUAGCAUCAAUCUUCUUGCAAUGAAUAGAGGUGCAGCAUAGCUUUUUUUUUUCAGCUAAUUAUUAUUUAUUAGUAUUAGAUAUCUUACCUAAAUUCAUAACCAAAUGAGCAUAGCAAGACAUUAUUUUGCUACCAUUUCUAAAUGUUAUCUAGCUGUUGCUUUACCAUGCAUGAUCAUCAAAUAGUGCCCCUUAAUAAUUUACGAGAGAUACUGACAAAGUUCAUCCUUCCCGAAUCUCAAAGGAUAUACAUAUAUAUAUGUUUGUGAUGGAAGCCAUUGCAAGGCAGUAGGUUGUGUGUAAUUCUUUGGGUGCAUCUAGAACCUCACCUUGCUACUAAAGUCAUGUUGUACAAUAUGUAUCAGGUCAAAUUUUAUAUAAUGUAUAAUAAUAAUAGUAAUAAUAAGACUAAUACUAACGACGAUGAGGACAAUGAAAAUGAUAAUAAUAACGACAACAAUGCCAGCUACAAAGCACAGCUUCUCUAAUGCACACAUACAUAUUGUUGACUAACCGAGCUUUCGCACAUUGAUAUACUCCAUCUCCAUGAGAUGGUGUAAUAUCUACUUGAAUGAAUGAUAUUUGGGAAGCUUCUAUUCUUAGAAUAGUGGUCUUAUAUACCUCAUUCUAAUCAUGCCCCUCGAAUUUUCUUAUAUCACAUAAAUUUUUUUUAUAGUCAUUUGAUAUAUUUAAACUUUUACCUUAUGCAGUUUUUAGCAAUUUUUAGCAUAAUCUUUUUGAAUAGUUUCCAACACCUUAGUGCCAUGUGAAGAUUAAACAAACCACCCAAAAACAAUACAGCCAACAAUAAAUCCAAAACCUGCUGGCUGGUGCCCCUUGCAUUGCCUCUCAA